UACGAAGGGGGCUAGCGUUGCUCGGAAUCACUGGGCGUAAAGCGCACGUAGGCGGAUUGCUAAGUCAGGGGUGAAAUCCUGGAGCUCAACUCCAGAACUGCCUUUGAUACUGGCGGUCUCGAGCCCGGGAGAGGUGAGUGGAACUGCGAGUGUAGAGGUGAAAUUCGUAGAUAUUCGCAAGAACACCAGUGGCGAAGGCGGCUCACUGGCCCGAUACUGACGCUGAGGCACGAAAGCGUGGGGAGCAAACAGG
rnacentral:rRNA from 1 species